rnacentral:rRNA from 1 species
GAUGAACGCUGGCGGUGUGCCUAAUACAUGCAAGUCGAGCGAACAGACGAGGAGCUUACUCCUCUGACGUUAGCGGCGGACGGGUGAGUAACACGUGGAUAACCUACCUAUAAGACUGGGAUAACUUCGGGAAACCGGAGCUAAUACCGGAUAACAUGUUGAACCGCAUGGUUCAACAGUGAAAGACGGUCUUGCUGUCACUUAUAGAUGGAUCCGCGUCGCAUUAGCUAGUUGGUAAGGUAACGGCUUACCAAGGCAACGAUGCGUAGCCGACCUGAGAGGGUGAUCGGCCACACGGGAACUGAGACACGGUCCAGACUCCUACGGGAGGCAGCAGUAGGGAAUCUUCCGCAAUGGGCGAAAGCCUGACGGAGCAACGCCGCGUGAGUGAAGAAGGUCUUCGGAUCGUAAAACUCUGUUAUUAGGGAAGAACAAAUGUGUAAGUAACUAUGCACGUAUUGACGGUACCUAAUCAGAAAGCAACGGCUAACUACGUG